AUUGAACGCUGGCGGCAGGCCUAACACAUGCAAGUCGAACGGUAACAGAAAGCAGCUUGCUGCUUUGCUGACGAGUGGCGGACGGGUGAGUAAUGUCUGGGAAACUGCCUGAUGGAGGGGGAUAACUACUGGAAACGGUAGCUAAUACCGCAUAACGUCGCAAGACCAAAGAGGGGGACCUUCGGGCCUCUUGCCAUCGGAUGUGCCCAGAUGGGAUUAGCUAGUAGGUGGGGUAAAGGCUCACCUAGGCGACGAUCCCUAGCUGGUCUGAGAGGAUGACCAGCCACACUGGAACUGAGACACGGUCCAGACUCCUACGGGAGGCAGCAGUGGGGAAUAUUGCACAAAGGGCGCAAGCCUGAUGCAGCCAUGCCGCGUGCAUGAAGAAGGCCUUCGGGUUGUAAAGUACUUUCAGCGGGGAGGAAGGGAGUAAAGUUAAUACCUUUGCUCAUUGACGUUACCCGCAGAAGAAGCACCGGCUAACUCCGUG
rnacentral:rRNA from 1 species